CAAGAUAACCGCAUACAGGCGAGAAAGAGCGCCUACUCUGGUUCCUCCCUGCCGGUUGACGUAUCAAAACCUACAAGUGUCUGUAUGAAUCUCUACGCCUUACACCAUAUCCAUUGACUGAAGAGGUGAAGGGUGGGAAGCACAGCUUUAAACCCCCCCCAAAAUCUGCGAUUUCUCCCUUGACCAUUACCACGAAACAUGAUGAGGACUAGAUAAGAGCAUCUGUAGUGAUCCCAACUCUUUAGACGGAAGACAAUUCUCAAAUUGAAAAACGGAUCCGCUUCUACCAACUCCCUUUCUUCUAUGAUAGAGGAGAGAAAAACAACAAUGUGUUUGACUUGUUCAUGAGAUCUAGGGACUCUUGAAUAAUUGCUGGUAGGAUUGUCGGCGUCAGAAAUGUUUCCCUCUGUUUGCUCUGCUCUUAAAAAAAAAAAAAAAAAAACCUAUUUACACAACUUUAUUUGCUCCGUAUAUUCUUAGUCUAAAUUGUGUUAAGAUUUUCUUCAAGUGAGACCCAAACAUCUUCUUACCCAAGGGAAGUUCACAAAUUAUCGAUUUUGAUGCGGUAUCAGUUGUCUAU